AUGGGCUGAAGGGCUGUACUAUUCUAAGUUCUGUGUUCCGUGAAAGGUGCAUCUUGUCUACUGCCACAACAGGGCUUCUCCUUCUUCUUCAGCCCUACUGGCCCACUGGGCAUUGGCCGCUGACAGCAGCUGUGCCAAGAUGGGCCGAAAGGAAAACGGAGCUGGAAAAUGGGGCAAUAAUUUUAUUACUGUUUCAGAAGAAUACUCGUGGAUCGAAGUGACAUCAUCAGCUCCUGUGCCACUCUCCGUCAGGUCUUCCAGUCACAGCACAAUGUCGGCCGGUGGCGCAGUGACAUCAGCGCCGGACUCCGGAACGGAGGAUCCCGGGUUCAAAUCCAGUUGGUCUGCUCCCGAGUACGCUUUCCAUCCGUGCCGGGUUGAGUGUCGAGAUCACAACUCGACCUCGUAGAAUAAAAGAAAAAUACUGCGAAAUGUCUGUGUGAG